GCACCCGUAGCUCAGCUGGAUAGAGUAUCAGACUACGAAUCUGAGGGUCGCACGUUCGAAUCGUGCCGGGUGCGCCA
rnacentral:tRNA from 1 species